AUCGCUUCUGGCCUGUGGCUCAGAUCGAGCGUAGUUUCUGUUCUUAUCAGUUUAAUAUCUGCUAGGCUUCCUGUGAGGGGGCUGCAUAUUAAAUGGAUUUUUGCCUCUUCCGCUCCUGCAUUGACCUGGUAUCGCAGUGUUUCCAGGACCGGUGCCCCAUCC
ensembl:snRNA U2 U2 spliceosomal RNA